rnacentral:rRNA from 1 species
GAUGAACGCUGGCGGCGUGCCUAAUACAUGCAAGUCGAGCGAACAGAUGAGGAGCUUGCUCCUCUGACGUUAGCGGCGGACGGGUGAGUAACACGUGGAUAACCUCCCUAUAAGACUGGGAUAACUUCGGGAACCCGGAGCUAAUACCGGAUAAUAUAUUGAACCGCAUGGUUCAAUAGUGAAGGACGGUUUUGCUGUAACUUAUAGAUGGAUCCGCGCCGCAUUAGCUAGUUGGUAAGGUAACGGCUUACCAAGGCAACGAUGCGUAGCCGACCUGAGAGGGUGAUCGGCCACACUGGAACUGAGACACGGUCCAGACUCCUACGGGAGGCAGCAGUAGGGAAUCUUCCGCAAUGGGCGAAAGCCUGACGGAGCAACGCCGCGUGAGUGAUGAAGGUCUUCGGAUCGUAAAACUCUGUUAUUAGGGAAGAACAAAUGUGUAAGUAACUAUGCACGUCUUGACGGUACCUAAUCAGAAAGCCACGGCUAACUACGUG